ACGGUAACAUUUCUAGCUUGCUAGAAGAUGACGAGUGGCGGACGGGUGAGUAAUGCUUGGGAACUUGCCUUUGCGAGGGGGAUAACAGUUGGAAACGACUGCUAAUACCGCAUAAUGUCUUCGGACCAAACGGGGCUUCGGCUCCGGCGCAAAGAGAGGCCCAAGUGAGAUUAGCUAGUUGGUAAGGUAACGGCUUACCAAGGCGACGAUCUCUAGCUGUUCUGAGAGGAAGAUCAGCCACACUGGGACUGAGACACGGCCCAGACUCCUACGGGAGGCAGCAGUGGGGAAUAUUGCACAAUGGGGGAAACCCUGAUGCAGCCAUGCCGCGUGUGUGAAGAAGGCCUUCGGGUUGUAAAGCACUUUCAGUUGUGAGGAAAAGUUAGUAGUUAAUACCUGCUAGCCGUGACGUUAACAACAGAAGAAGCACCGGCUAACUCCGUGCCAGCAGCCGCGGUAAUACGGAGGGUGCGAGCGUUAAUCGGAAUUACUGGGCGUAAAGCGCACGCAGGCGGUUUGUUAAGCUAGAUGUGAAAGCCCCGGGCUCAACCUGGGAUGGUCAUUUAGAACUGGCAGACUAGAGUCUUGGAGAGGGGAGUGGAAUUCCAGGUGUAGCGGUGAAAUGCGUAGAUAUCUGGAGGAACAUCAGUGGCGAAGGCGACUCCCUGGCCAAAGACUGACGCUCAUGUGCGUAAGUGUG
rnacentral:rRNA from 1 species